rnacentral:rRNA from 1 species
AACGAACGCUGGCGGCAGGCUUAACACAUGCAAGUCGAACGAGAUCUUCGGAUCUAGUGGCAGACGGGUGAGGAUCACGUGGGAACAUCCCUUUCAGUUCGGAAUAACGUUGGGAAACUAACGCUAAUACCGGAUACGUCCUUCGGGAGAAAGAUUUAUCGCUGAAAGAUUGGCCCGCGUCUGAUUAGCUAGUUGGUGAGGUAAUGGCUCACCAAGGCUACGAUCAGUAGCUGAUCUGAGAGGAUGAUCAGCCACAUUGGGACUGAGACACGGCCCAAACUCCUACGGGAGGCAGCAGUGGGGAAUAUUGGACAAUGGGCGCAAGCCUGAUCCAGCCAUGCCGCGUGAGUGAUGACGGCCUUUGGGUUGUAAAGCUCUUUUGUCCGGGAAGAUAAUGACUGUACCGGAAGAAUAAGCCCCGGCAAACUUCGUGCCAGCCGCCGCGGUAA